GAUGAACGCUAGCGGCAGGCCUAACACAUGCAAGUCGAGGGGCAGCACGUCUUCGGAUGGUGGCGACCGGCGCACGGGUGCGUAACGCGUAUGCAACCUACCUCUUACAGUGGGAUAGCCCAGAGAAAUUUGGAUUAAUACCGCAUAGUAUACAGAUUCAGCAUUGGGACUGUAUUAAACAUUUAUGGGUAAGAGAUGGGCAUGCGUUCUAUUAGUUAGUUGGAGUGGUAACGGCACCCCAAGACAGCGAUAGAUAGGGGCCCUGAGAGGGGGAUCCCCCACACUGGUACUGAGACACGGACCAGACUCCUACGGGAGGCAGCAGUGAGGAAUAUUGGACAAUGGGGGAAACCCUGAUCCAGCAAUGCCGCGUGCGUGAAGAAGGCCUUAGGGUUGUAAAGCGCUUUCACCUGUGAUGAUGAUGACAGUAGCAGGAGAAGAAGCCCCGGCUAACUCCGUGCCAGCAGCCGCGGUAAAGUCGUACGA
rnacentral:rRNA from 1 species